rnacentral:rRNA from 1 species
GCUGGCGGCGUGCUUAACACAUGCAAGUCGAGGGCGGGUAGCAAUACCCGACCGGCGAACGGGUGCGUAACACGUGAGCAACCUACCUCGUUGCGGGGGAUAGCCGGCCCAACGGCCGGGUAAUACCGCAUACGAUCGCUUGGAGGAGUCUCCGGGCGAAGAAACCCUUCGGGGGCAAUGAGAGGGGCUCGCGGCCUAUCAGCUAGUUGGCGAGGUAACGGCUCACCAAGGCUAUGACGGGUAGCUGGUCUGAGAGGAUGGCCAGCCACAUUGGGACUGAGAGACGGCCCAGACUCCUACGGGAGGCAGCAGUGGGGAAUCUUGCGCAAUGGCCGAAAGGCUGACGCAGCGACGCCGCGUGCGGGAGGAAGCUCUUCGGGGUGUAAACCGCUGUUGCCCGGAACGAAACUCUACUUUCGAGUGGAUUGACGGUACCGGGUGAGGAAGCGCCGGCUAACUCUGUGCCAGCAGCCGCGGUAAUACAGAGGGCGCGAGCGUUGUCCGGAAUCACUGGGCGUAAAGGGCGCGUA